AUACGUAGGGGGCGAGCGUUGUCCGGAUUUAUUGGGCGUAAAGGGUGCGUAGGCGGCCUUGUAAGUCAGAUGUGAAAGAUCAUGGCUUAACUGUGGUAAGCAUUUGAAACUGCAGGGCUUGAGUACAGGAGAGGAGAGUGGAAUUCCUAGUGUAGCGGUGAAAUGCGUAGAUAUUAGGAGGAAUACCAGUGGCGAAGGCGACUCUCUGGACUGAUACUUACGCUGAGGCACGAAAGCGUGGGGAGCAAACAGGAUUAGAGACCCUGGUAGUCCACGCUAUAAACGAUGAGUGCUAGGUGUCGGGGGUCAAACCUCGGUGCCGCAGUUAACACAUUAAGCACUCCGCCUGGGGAGUACGGCCGCAAGGCUGAAACUCAAAUGAAUUGACG
rnacentral:rRNA from 1 species